rnacentral:lncRNA from 1 species
GACCCACCCAAGAAAAAUGCUAUGAAUGAGUUACAAGAUGAACUGAUGACCAUUCGACUUAGAGAAGCUGAAACACAAGCAGAAAUAAGAGAAAUAAAACAAAGGAUGAUGGAAAUGGAAACACAGGUAUGAUGGGAAAGCCCAGUAUCUUUAAAAAGUAUCACUAGCUGAUCAAGGGUAAAAUAUUCUUAAAAUGAAAGCUUUACACUUGUGUUUGAGACUAAGCAACUUGCAUUGUGUCAUGACCCUUCUAAUACCACAAACCUUCUGUAAUACUACUCCCGGAGAAAAACCCACAUCCUAUGCAUAACCUUAGAUUUAUUUUGAAAUCUCUAUGAACAAGAACAGAGAGAGAUUACUAAUUGUUACUUCCUUUAGAGGUAUGAUACCUAUUUGUAACCC